CCUACGGGAGGCUGCAGUGGGGAAUAUUGGGCAAUGGGCGCAAGCCUGACCCAGCAACGCCGCGUGAAGGAAGAAGGCUUUCGGGUUGUAAACUUCUUUUCUCAGGGACGAGGCAAGUGCCGGUACCUGAGGAAUAAGCCACGGCUAACUCCGUGCCAGCAGCCCCGGUAAUCCGUAGGUGGCAAGCGUUAUCCGGAUUUACUGGGGGUAAAGGGCGUGCAGGCGGGAAUGCAAGUCAGAUGUGAAAACCCCGGGCUCAACCUGGGACCUGCAUUUGAAACUGUAGUUCUUGAGUACCGGAGAGGCAGACGGAAUUCCUAGUGUAGCGGUGAAAUGCGUAGAUAUUAGGAGGAACACCAGUGGCGAAGGCGGACUGCUGGACAGCAACUGACGCUGAGGCGCGAAAGCGUGGGGAGCAAACAGGAUUAGAUACCCUGGUAGUC
rnacentral:rRNA from 1 species